rnacentral:rRNA from 1 species
CAGCAGCCGCGGUAAUACAGAGGAUGCAAGCGUUAUCCGGAAUGAUUGGGCGUAAAGCGUCUGUAGGUGACUUUUCAAGUCCGCCGUCAAAUCCCAGGGCUCAACCCUGGACAGGCGGUGGAAACUACCAAGCUAGAGUACGGUAGGGGCAGAGGGAAUUUCCGGUGGAGCGGUGAAAUGCGUUGAGAUCGAAAAGAACACCAACGACGAAAGCACUCUGCUGGGUCGACACUGACACUGAGAGACGAAAGCUAGGGGAGCAAAUGGGAUUAGAGACCCCUGUAGUCCCUGUCUCUUAUAC